UACGGAAGGUCCGGGCGUAUCCGGAUUUAUUGGGUUUAAAGGGAGCGUAGGCCGGUCUUUAAGCGUGCCGUGAAAUUUUGUGGCUCAACCAUGAGAGUGCGGCGCGAACUGGAGACCUUGAGUGCGCGGAAGGCAGGCGGAAUUCGUGGUGUAGCGGUGAAAUGCUUAGAUAUCACGAAGAACCCCGAUUGCGAAGGCAGCCUGCCGCAGCGUUACUGACGCUGAAGCUCGAAAGCGCGGGUAUCGAACAGGAUUAGACUACCGUGUCAGUCCAAGACCAG
rnacentral:rRNA from 1 species